rnacentral:rRNA from 1 species
GCCUACGGGGGCAGCAGUAGGGAAUCUUCCACAAUGGGCGAAAGCCUGAUGGAGCAACGCCGCGUGGGUGAAGAAGGUCUUCGGAUCGUAAAACCCUGUUGUUAGAGAAGAAAGUGCGUGAGAGUAACUGUUCACGUUUCGACGGUAUCUAACCAGAAAGCCACGGCUAACUACGUGCCAGCAGCCGCGGUAAUACGUAGGUGGCAAGCGUUAUCCGGAUUUAUUGGGCGUAAAGGGAACGCAGGCGGUCUUUUAAGUCUGAUGUGAAAGCCUUCGGCUUGACCGGAGUAGUGCAUUGGAAACUG